rnacentral:rRNA from 1 species
UUGGCUCAGGAUGAACGCUGGCGGCGUGCCUAACACAUGCAAGUCGAACGGAGUAUAUUCGCUGCAGAGAUUCGGUCGAAGCUUGAGUAUACUUAGUGGCGGACGGGUGAGUAACGCGUGGGCAACCUGCCUCAUACUGGGGGAUAGCAGUUGGAAACGACUGAUAAAACCGCAUAAGCGCACGGUACCGCAUGGUACAGUGUGAAAAACUCCGGUGGUAUGAGAUGGGCCCGCGUCAGAUUAGCUAGUUGGUGAGGUAAAGGCCCACCAAGGCGACGAUCUGUAGCCGGACUGAGAGGUCGGACGGCCACAUUGGGACUGAGACACGGCCCAAACUCCUACGGGAGGCAGCAGUGGGGGAUAUUGCACAAUGGAGGAAACUCUGAUGCAGCGACGCCCGCGUGAGUGAAGAAGUAUUUCGGUAUGUAAAGCUCUAUCAGCAGGGAAGAAAGGCCCGCAAGGGAGAUGACGGUACCUGACUAAGAAGCCCCGGCUAACUACGUGCCAGCCGCGGC